rnacentral:rRNA from 1 species
UUCGCUCCAGGUAUACCAUGCAGUCGAGCGGAGAGGGAGCUUGCUCCUGGAUUCAGCGGCGGACGGGUGAGUAAUGCCUAGGAAUCUGCCUGGUAGUGGGGGAUAACGUCCGGAAACGGGCGCUAAUACCGCAUACGUCCUGAGGGAGAAAGUGGGGGAUCUUCGGACCUCACGCUAUCAGAUGAGCCUAGGUCGGAUUAGCUAGUUGGUGGGGUAAAGGCCUACCAAGGCGACGAUCCGUAACUGGUCUGAGAGGAUGAUCAGUCACACUGGAACUGAGACACGGUCCAGACUCCUACGGGAGGCAGCAGUGGGGGAAUAUUGGACAAUGGGCGAAAGCCUGAUCCAGCCAUGCCGCGUGUGUGAAGAAGGUCUUCGGAUUGUAAAGCACUUUAAGUUGGGAGGAAGGGCAGUAAGUUAAUACCUUGC